rnacentral:rRNA from 2 species
GAGUUUGAUUCUGGCUCAGGAUGAACGCUGGCGGCGUGCCUAAUACAUGCAAGUCGAACGAAACUUCUUUAUCACCGAGUGCUUGCACUCACCGAUAAAGAGUUGAGUGGCGAACGGGUGAGUAACACGUGGGCAACCUGCCCAAAAGAGGGGGAUAACACUUGGAAACAGGUGCUAAUACCGCAUAAUCAUAGUUGCCGCAUGGUAACUAUGUAAAAGGUGGCUAUACUACCGCUUUUGGAUGGGCCCGCGGCGCAUUAGCUAGUUGGUGAGGUAAAGGCUUACCAAGGCAAUGAUGCGUAGCCGAACUGAGAGGUUGAUCGGCCACAUUGGGACUGAGACACGGCCCAAACUCCUACGGGAGGCAGCAGUAGGGAAUCUUCCACAACGGGCGAAAGCCUGAUGGAGCAACGCCGCGUGGGUGAAGAAGGUCUUCGGAUCGUAAAACCCUGUUGUUAGAGAAGAAAGUGCGUGAGAGUAACUGUUCACGUUCGACGGUAUCUAACCA